GACGAACCGUGCGAACGUUAUUCGGAAUCACUGGGCUUAAAGCGCGUGUAGGCGGGGCGGCACGUCUGUCGCUGAAAUCCCCCGGCUUAACCGGGGAACUGGCGGAGAUACGACCCGCCCCUGGAGGGGCGUAGGGGGGACCUGGAACUUCCGGUGGAGCGGUGAAAUGCGUUGAGAUCGGAAGGAACGCCCGUGGCGAAAGCGAGGUCCUGGACGCCUACUGACGCUGAGACGCGAAAGCCAGGGGAGCGAAACGGG
rnacentral:rRNA from 1 species